CCUACGGGCGGCAGCAGUGGGGAAUAUUGGACAAUGGGGGGAACCCUGAUCCAGCCAUGCCGCGUGUGUGAAGAAGGCCCUCGGGUUGUAAAGCACUUUCAGUGAGGAAGAACGCCUGGUGGUUAAUACCCAUCAGGAAAGACAUCACUCACAGAAGAAGCACCGGCUAACUCCGUGCCAGCAGCCGCGGUAAUACGGAGGGUGCGAGCGUUAAUCGGAAUUACUGGGCGUAAAGCGCGCGUAGGUGGCUUGAUAAGCCGGUUGUGAAAGCCCCGGGCUCAACCUGGGAACGGCAUCCGGAACUGUCAAGCUAGAGUGCAGGAGAGGAAGGUAGAAUUCCCGGUGUAGCGGUGAAAUGCGUAGAGAUCGGGAGGAAUACCAGUGGCGAAGGCGGCCUUCUGGACUGACACUGACACUGAGGUCCGAAAGCGUGGGUAGCAAACAGGAUUAGAUACCCUGGUAGUC
rnacentral:rRNA from 1 species